AUGUGGUGCUGAAAAUCAAACCCAGUGCCUCACACAUGCUAGGCAAGUGCUCUACCACUGAGCUACAGCUCCAGCCCCCUUCCCUUCGUAUUUCUAUAGAGGGCCAUGUAAAGCUUUAGAUUCUGUUUAGACUCCAGGUUUUAAGAGUUCAACACAGAAAGAAUUUCAGGUCAUUUGUUUCCCUCCAGAAUGAAAUUCUAAUCUUGAGGGAGGUGGGAAGGACAGGCGAAUGCAUUAUUGCAAACCUUCUCCAGUGAUUCUGAGGUAUAGCUCUGGUUAAGAGCCCCUGCCCAACACCCUGAGAUAUUUGAGUGUAAGGACCAUGCCCUUCAACUUUGUAUUUAUUAAAUACAACCAAUGCCUGAUAUACAGUCAGUGCUCAGUAAAGGGUCAAGUGAACCAGUGGAAACAAGAGCUGAAGAAUGAUAGGGUCCAAAGAAAUGGAUGGAGGAUAGCUUAGGAAUAAGUAUGGUCCCUUCAUUUUUUUCAGUUGCCUUAGUGUUGAAAUGGAAGGAGGCUCCCAGAUAUUCAUGGGAUGUCACUUUUGGCAACAAUGGACCAUCAGUUAUCUGGGUUUUCUAGGUGUUUUGUAGCAAGGAGGGAUUUCAGACUAUGUAGUCUGCAAUAUUUCCAGAAAUAGAAAUCAUUCUUUUUUCCUCUAAUGACCCACACAACACCUGGGAAUUGCCAUAAAAUUCCCAGAAGAGGAGUAUGGUGAAGGAAAACCACUUUCCCUAGGUAUACUUUGUAUGGAACUGCCAGUGAAGCAGUAUAGAUAUGGGCAGAAGACACCACUCUCCUGGUGUCUCCUGAGAUCUGUGCUCUGACUGGUUUCCAUCUGUCGUCUUCUGCCAGUUUUGUUGGGACUCACCUUCCAUUUUCUCUCCACACAGGCUUGUUGAAAAUGUAGGAGCCAAUGUUUCCAACCGUCCCUGCUCCAAACUCUGAUGCAUACGCACCUGUGUACAGGGUGCACCCUGGCCUACAUGUUGUUUCAUCAUUGUGCAGUGCUCAAUGUGGUUAUUGUACAGCUUCAUUUUCAGUGAAAGCCACGGGAACAGAAGCCUCAUACAUUCCCCACCCAUCCCACUUUCACACAUCGGUCAUUCAAGAAAUAAAGGAAAGAAAGCAUUAAAUAUGACCCAGUCACAUCUUGGCCAUUAACAUAACAUUCUAAGAGAAGGAAAAAUAUCAUUAAUGGAGGAAAACACAUUACCUCCUAAAAUGCCACCAAAUUGCCGAAAUACAAGUUUGUUAGUGAUGGUGGUGGAGGGGGGUGGCGGGGGAGGGAGGGAAUAUUAUCAUGUGGAACCUCAGCAGUCUCUGAAAACCCUACAAAUUUCCCCCAUAUAACUACCAAAGUGAUGGGUUUGCUCCACAAGAACUGUUGUGACUUGGGAGUUUAAGUUCUUCAGAGGUGAGUUAGACAGCGAUGAUUCUUCGAAGAAAUUAAAACACUAUAUUUGAAUUCAGUUCCCAGGUUAUCACUGAGCUUGGGUUACCAAACAAUUCCUACAAUGUCUACAGUUCUAGGACACUACAAAGCAAAAUCUAGGGUUUCAGCCAAACCCUUCAAUCCAUAGGCCUAUGUAAAGGGCUGUCCCAAGGAACCAAUCAUCUAGCCCAUUGGUUCUCAAAGUAUGGUCUAAAGAGUCUUGGGGGGCUGGGUAAUCCCAGUGACUUGGGGGCUGAAGCAGGAGGAUCGAUAGUUCAAAGCAAGCCUCAGCAACUUAGUGAGGCCCUAAGCAACUUAGACCUUGUUUCAAAAUAAAAAGGGCUGGGGAUGUGGUUCCGUGGUUAAGCACCCCUGGGUUCAAUCUUCCUCCCCGCCAGCAAAGAUUCUUGGGAGUUUCUGAAGCCCUUUUAGUGGGUCUGUGGGAUAAAACUGUUUUUCCACAUUUUUACUGGUACGUUAUAUAUAAUGGUAGGAUUCGUUACAUAUUCAUACAUGGACACAAUACAACAAUAUAAUUUGGCCAGUAUUGUUGCCCAGUAUUGUCCUUUCCCUCCCCUCUUCCUCUCCUUCUGGUACCUUUCCUCUUCUCUACUGUCUCCCUUUAUCUUUCAUGAGAUAUCUCCGCCACCAUUCCUUUUCCUUUUCUCCUUUCUAGCUUUGACAUGAGAGGAAACAUAUGAAUCUUGACUUUCUGAGUUUGGAGGAAUGGCAUCCAGCUAAUCCGCGCUCCUCAGUAUUUACCCUAAAGAAUUGUAUUCGUCAUACUGUAGCAAUACAGGGAUGAAACUAUUUUACAAUAACAGUAAGGUGAUACUUUCUUUUUCACUCCCAUCAUCUCAUCUUUUCCAGAGGUGACAUGACAUGUGAUGUUGUCUCUGAUAGCUGAGGGAUGUGUGCUUCUGUGUUCUUGAAUUUUAAAUAUUUCUGACUCUCAAAAUCUAAGAUAAUUAUUAUCAGUAGAUACAACCUAAACUCCAAAACUCUUUGGGAUCCUCAAUAGUUUUUCAGGGUGUUAAGGUGCUUCUUUCUGAAGAGCAGAGUAAACCCUCUUGAGUAAAGAGACAACCUACUGAGCGGGAGAAGUGAUUAUUUCCAAACAAUACACAUGGCAUGGGGUUGAUAUCCAGCAUAUGUAAAGAACCCCAAUAACUCGGUUGCCCCAAAACAGAUAACCUGAUUAAAAAUGGGCAAUAGGGCUGGGGAUGUGGCUCAAGUGGUAGCGCGCUUGCCUGUCAUGCGUGUGGCCCGGGUUCGAUCCUCAGCACCACAUACAAACAAAGAUGUUGUGUCCGCCAAAAACUAAAAUAAAUAAAUAAAUAUUUAAAAAAAAAUUCUCUCUCUCUCUCUUUAAAAAAAAGGGGGGGGCCAAUAGACCUAGGUCAAUGUGACUCAAAGGAAGACAUUCAGAUGGCCAACAGAGACGUGAAAAUAUGCUGAGCAACACCAAUCAUAUCAGAAAUGGCAGGCAGCGCUUCGCCUGACCCCCUCUAAGAGGUCAGUUGUCAAAGAAAAAGAAAAAAAACAAAUGUUGGUGAGGAUGUGGAGGAAAAGGAACUCUCAUACAUUGCUGAUGGAAAUGUAAGUUGGUACAGUGAUUAUGAAAGACGGUAUGGAGGAUCUUUACGCAAUUAAAGGUAGAUCUCCCAUAUGAUGCAGCUACCUCACUUCUGGGCAUGUAUCCAAAGGAAAUGACUAUGAGCACACCAAAGAGAUCCUAGCAUGGUCUUGUUUAUUGCUGCAUUAUUCACAAUAGCCAAGAUAUGGAAUCAACCUAGAUGCCCAUGAACAGGUUAAUGGAUAAAGGAAAUGUCAUACAUAUGUGCAAUGGAAUACUAUCCAGUCAUAAAAGAAUCUUAUCAUUUGUAUAAAAAUAGAUGAGAUUAGAGGACAUUAUGUUAAGGGAAGUGGAUCAGAUAGAAAAACAAGUACCACAUGUUCUCCCUUGUGGAUAUUAAGACCAAAAUUUAGGUGAAUUGUUGAUUUAUCAGUGUUAUUUCUAGAAUGGAUUUCAUUCUAACUAUCCUAGUCAGAAGGAAAAUUUACCUACUCAGUAUUGCUUUGAUUUCAAUAUGGAGAAUCAAAGGAAUUCUCUAUGUUUCUGAAGUAUAGUUACCAAAAUUAUCUAAAAAGGUUUAGAAAAUGUGAGCUCAUGUUAUAGCUUAGGGGAAAGAUCUACCCCACUAGAUGGUUGACAGAAGCCCCCCUCUCUGUAACAUGUUCCCAUGCUAGAGAAAGGGGCCGCUUCUGUCUCAUGGGAUGGGAUAGAGAGACAAUAUGUAGUAGAUUUUCACACAAUAUUAUUCUGCUGAUAUGAAAUUCUGGUAGCCAAGGUGGCAGGUAUGUUCUUAAUCCCAAUGCUGUCAAAUUUAAGCCUGGAGCCCCAAGAGACGAGCGGUAUUUAAGACAUCAUCUCUUGUUAAGUAGCAGCCACACAGUUGGCGGUAGCCAGUGAAGGAUUCCCUGCCAUGUAGGACUCUCCAGUUGUCUAUAAAUAGGACCUGUGAAUGAAUAAAAAGAGAAAACAUCAUCAGAACAAGCGCAAACCCAAAGAACCCUAAAUCAGAAGAGAUCAUGUAAAAAGCAAAGCGUUAGGUGGUUCUAUGGUUACAUUCUGUGCGAUAUUUUUAUUUUUAAAUUAAGCAGACUUUUGGAAGCCCAGACGGGUGUAACCCUGUAGCAGGAUAAAUGGAAGUUGCAAAGGCAAUAGUAGGUAAUAAAUGGGCCCUGCCCUUGAGGGGUUUAUGUUUCUUGAAUAAUUGUCCUCUUUUCAAAGCAAAUCAUGUAAUUUGAUUCUUUCGUUUUCUUUUCUACUUCUCACUCUAUACUUUCUCAAAGGGUUAAGCUAUUUUAUUAUGUUUUAUGAAGAUAUUCUCCAUCCAGAGGAAAUAAAGAUGAAAAAAAAAUGGAAUCAUGAAGGUGGAGGGACUCUUAGGGAUCAUGCAGUUAAAACCCCUCGUCAUUCACAUAGAGUCACAGAUGUCAGAGAUGGGGUGGGGCCUGCUCCCAGGUCAUUCAGUGAGUGAGUGGCAGGACCACAGCCAGCACCUAGGACUUUUUUUUUCCCCCUCUGUUUCCUUUGCAACAACACGACACAUACUAAACAAGUACCAUUAUUGAUUGAUUUGUUUAUUUUU
ensembl:lincRNA